GCUUUGGUGAUGGAGCUUGAGUUGGAGGAACUGGAAACGUGGGUCUAGGUGGGACUGCUUCCCUUAGGCAACCAUGUGACUAUCAACACCAGUAGAGACAUUUCAGA
rnacentral:lncRNA from 1 species